rnacentral:rRNA from 1 species
AUUGAACGCUGGCGGAAUGCUUUACACAUGCAAGUCGAACGGCAGCAUAGGUGCUUGCACCUGAUGGCGAGUGGCGAACGGGUGAGUAAUACAUCGGAACGUGCCCAGUCGUGGGGGAUAACGUAGCGAAAGUUAGGCUAAUCCCGAAUACGAUCUAAGGAUGAAAGCGGGGGACCGUAAGGCCUCGCGCGAUUGGAGCGGCCGAUGUCAGAUUAGGUAGUUGGUGAGGUAAAGGCUACCCAAGCCGACGAUCUGUAGCUGGGCUGAGAGGACGACCAGCCACACUGGAACUGAGACACGGCCCAGACUCCUACGGGAGGCAGCAGUGUGGAAUUUUGGACAAUGGACGCAAGUCUGAUCCAGCCAUUCCUCGUGCAGGACGAAGGCCUUCGGGUUGUAAACUGCUUUUGUACGGAACGAAAAAGCUCUUACUAAUACUAGGAGUCCAUGACGGUACCGUAAGAAUAAGCACCGGCUAACUACGUGCCAGCAGCCGCAGUAA